AAAAAUCUAAUUCUACAUAACAGUCUCGCCUUGCCACCAUCACGUGUGAUCACGUGGUUUUAUUUAGAUCUACAUAUAUAUAUAUAUACUUUAUUGUCUUAUGAAACGUACCUACUAUAGAACAAUUUCAUGAAGAAUAAUCAAAUCUUCGAGCAUUAUUGCAAAGCAUUGCACCGACCGUGUUUUAUAUUAUGAUCACGCAUUUAUAAAGUCGACAUACACCUAACCGAUACGUCGUGCCAUACUGUCAUACAUAACUUUUUUAUCGACCUCCUGAAACUUUGAAAUGGAAGUUCCAAACAAUAUGGAGAAGAAUUCAGAUAUGAUGAAUGAAUUGGAUUGGAUUCGGAUACGUGCGGAGCUUAGCGAUCAUAUAAAAGUGGAAACGUUCACAGAAAAAAUGGUGCGGAAAACGAAAGAAAAUCCCGUGGUACCUUUAGGCGCCAUGGCAACUGUAGCUGCUCUAACGGUUGGUGUUUAUAACUUUUACCAUGGGAAUACAAAGAUGUCUCAAUAUAUGAUGCGUGCACGUGUAGGGGCACAGGCAUUUACUAUAUUUGCUAUGGUUGCUGGAUUUAUGUUAACAGUAAAGGAAUAAAAAUUAGGUGAUGCAUCGCUAUUAA